rnacentral:rRNA from 1 species
AAACGAUGGCUAAUACCGCAUGAUGCCUACGGGCCAAAGAGGGGGACCUUCGGGCCUCUCGCGUCAGGAUAUGCCUAGGUGGGAUUAGCUAGUUGGUGAGGUAAGGGCUCACCAAGGCGACGAUCCCUAGCUGGUCUGAGAGGAUGAUCAGCCACACUGGAACUGAGACACGGUCCAGACUCCUACGGGAGGCAGCAGUGGGGAAUAUUGCACAAUGGGCGCAAGCCUGAUGCAGCCAUGCCGCGUGUAUGAAGAAGGCCUUCGGGUUGUAAAGCACUUUCAGUAGUGAGGAAGGUGGUGUCGUUAAUAGCGGCAUUGUUUGACGUUAGCGACAGAAGAAGCACCGGCUAACUCCGUGCCAGCAGCCGCGGUAAUACGGAGGGUGCGAGCGUUAAUCGGAAUUACUGGGCGUAAAGCGCAUGCAGGUGGUUUGUUAAGUCAGAUGUGAAAGCCCGGGGCUCAACCUCGGAAUAGCAUUUGAAACUGGCAGACUAGAGUACUGUAGAGGGGGGUAGAAUUUCAGGUGUAGCGGUGAAAUGCGUAGAGAU